AUGGGUCAUGCUUUCUAUGUGUUGAAAUCCUCCUUGCUAAUUUCUAAUCAGCAUUUGCUUCUAGAUUUCACAGUAUGUAUUGUCAGCUGCUUCUCUGCAUGUUUUCAAAAAUCAGAGUCAACAAUGUCAGGCUGCCUUCCUCCUUAUCACAUUGUCUGGAGCGUCACUCCCUGCCUGUUUCAUGGAAGCACUUGGAGACACAGGGAACUACGAAGGGAAAAAGCACAGCUCAAAACCAGAAUGGUUAAAAGUGAUCUUCAAAUGUCAGGCUGCCUCAGGGAAACAAGAGAUCACCUCAGCUCCAUUAAGAGAUGGUUGCAGCAAAGAACCAAAACAAAUUUUCUGUCAUCCAGCCCCGCAGCUGAAGAGAAAAGUGGAAGAUUGAAAUAAGCAUCUUGACCACAGGUGAUUGUCAGCAGUCACAGAAGCUCCACAAACAACAGGAUUCACCACUGCACAGUUGAGGAGAGGCAAGGCACCUUGGGAAACCAGGAUCCUCCUGACUAAGUCAGCAUGGAAGCACUCCAGUCUUCAUGCCACCCUGGAAAAACAACAGCUUUUAGGUUGGAGCUCCUUCCUGUCCUCUCAGGGGCUGUGCCUCAACACACUCACACACAGAGCUGCUAAGAGAAUCAGGUCCUUGGGAGAUGCAGCCCAGAACUGCUGCCCUGAUGGCUCUACAGCAGCAUGGCUCCCUCCUCCCCCAGUUUGGGCUGUCUGGAGUCUCUGUGCCGAGCUGUCCCCAGGCAGGUCUAAUGCCAGCCCCCGUGGGCCCAAAUCCCGUUUGCAGGGUGCGCCUGGCAGAGUCACCGCAUCCUCCGGCUGGGCAACGCCUGCUCAGGGCCACGCAUAAACACUUUACUGCUGGCCAUUACAUUUUAUUGCUCUCUCUAAUAUGCUUUGAGAUAACUAAACUGAUGCCUGAAAGAGGCAUUUAAACAGUUUUAGCAGUAUCUACUUCGCAUAAUCUGUUUUACAGCAGUGUCUUAUGGUUUUACCCAUUUAAAAUGUGUUCGUUGUUGUUUUUUUAAUCAAGGGAUUUGCACUAUGACCUUUGAGCAACAGCAACCCCGGCAAGAAAACAGCUGGCAACUCAGUGUGCAAUACAAUCUAUGGAGAUUAAAUUCAUUUCAUUCCCUUUUAAGGCAGAAGACUGGGAGGCUGGUGAAUCCACUGGGAUUUUGGUGGAUUGAAUUCUCUUUUAUUUUGAAAGGAGAGCAGAGACUAUAUGAGCUAAAAAAAUAAUAGACAUUUUUUUGCUCUGUGGAUUUAUCCCCACUCUGAAUUACUUGGCUGGCCUGGAUAAGGGAAGGCACGUCAGUACCUUUUUCAGGCUAAGGUCUAGGACUAACAACAAGUUUCCAGCCCUGGAAAUACUGAGAUACACCCAGAUAACUGUGUGCAAACCACUAACCAAAUGAAUGAUAAACCAAACAUUUUUUU
rnacentral:lncRNA from 1 species